rnacentral:rRNA from 1 species
UACAGGGGGUGCAAACGUUGUUCGGAAUCAUUGGGCGUAAAGCGCGCGUAGGCGGUUCGUUAUGUCGGAUGUGAAAGCCCUUGGCUUAACCGAGGAAGUGCAUCCGAAACUGGCGAGCUAGAGUACGAAAGAGGAUCGCGGAAUUCCCGGUGUAGAGGUGAAAUUCGUAGAUAUCGGGAGGAACACCGGUGGCGAAGGCGGCGAUCUGCGUCGAUACUGACGCUGAGGUGCGAAAGCGUGGGGAGCAAACAGG